GUUCAUUAAAAGCUGCAGAGUUGAAAUUUUAAAAUUCAUAAUCGAGUUACAAGAUACGACUCUCAAAUAAUGAAUACGAUUCGCUCUUUUCUUAUUAGUCCUCGACUAAUGAUUGGUUCAUUAUAUUCCCUCAACAUUAUUUAAAGGUACAAAUGUAUGCAUAUCAUAUUUAAAUUUCAACUCUGCAGCUUUUAAUGAACCAGUAUGAAGAUUUCAAUUCCUUCUGACAAACCAAAACUGCUCUACAUGUGAUCAAGAUCUUUAAGAAAAAAUUGAGUAGGCAUCCUAAAGGAGAUUGUCAAGUUGUGCUUGCAGCUCUUGCAUGGACACCAUAUUAAUGACGCUUUGUUCUUCAGGAGAGUACUCGACUUUUACAAGGGAUUGUACCUGAACAUGUGCUUCCACAAUAUUUGUUUUUAUCGGUUUAAAAAGUAUUGUUCUUG
rnacentral:misc_RNA from 1 species